GAUUGAGAUUAUUUUUAUUCUUUUUGUUUUUGAUAUAUAUAUUUUUUUUUUUUAAGGAAAACUCUUAACGUCACUGUCUACUGUAUUUGGGUUUUAUACGUCUACGAAAAUUGUACUGGAAAUCACUGAAACCUGUCAUGGAUACUGUUUGGACUACUAUACAGACCAAGUUGCAUCAUAUUUCAUAAUCAGGUGGGAUGGACAAUGAGAGAUGAAAGUGAGAACACUCCUUUGAUGCUGGAUUGACUUUCUCCCACAUGAAUUCUCUGUUCUCUAUUCUAGACUUUGUAUUCAAGCGGAAUCGUCAAAUAGAAUAUUUCGAUCUGUCAAACCACACCACUAUUUUUCGCACGGAUGACGUGUCAGCAGUGCCAACAAUACGUUGUCGCCAAUGAACACAGAAUUUUCUCGGGAUAACAAAAAAAAAGAUUCCCCGAUAUCAGCUGCACAGCGCUGAUAUUUAUUCUUUUAUCGUGUUUAUCCGUAUUUCCAGAAAUAUGAAUCCACACGAUAAUAUCAAUCAACGUCUAUCCUAUUUCCGAGUGUAAACAGCGGUUAGACGCAACGUCAUUUUGUCGAUAUACUUUCGUGACGGUUUAGUAUUGGCCGCCUAUAAUAGAUGAUAUCUACUAGCGAAUUAUACAAUAGUUAUACAGGUAUCCGUUAUCGUCACUAUUAUCACGUAUGUUUAAUCUGUGUUAAAUUCCCUCGCGAUUUGGUUAUGCGAAGUGAAAAAUUGUUGGGAAAACUAUUGAAUGAAAUUGUAUUGUACGACUGUAUUAAAAAUAACGAUACUACUUA